rnacentral:rRNA from 1 species
UACGGAGGGAGCUAGCGUUGUUCGGAAUUACUGGGCGUAAAGCGCACGUAGGCGGCGAUUUAAGUCAGGGGUGAAAGCCCGGGGCUCAACCCUGGAACUGCCUUUGAUACUGGGUGUCUAGAGUAUGGAAGAGGUGAGUGGAAUUCCGAGUGUAGAGGUGAAAUUCGUAGAUAUUCGGAGGAACACCAGUGGCGAAGGCGGCUCACUGGUCCAUUACUGACGCUGAGGUGCGAAAGCGUGGGGAGCAAACAGGAUUAGAUACCCCGGUAGU